AUUGAACGCUGGCGGCAUGCCUUACACAUGCAAGUCGAACGGUAACGCGGGGCAACCUGGCGACGAGUGGCGAACGGGUGAGUAAUGCAUCGGAACGUGCCCAGUAGUGGGGGAUAGCCCGGCGAAAGCCGGAUUAAUACCGCAUACGACCUACGGGUGAAAGCGGGGGAUCGCAAGACCGCUCCCUAUUGUAGCGGACGAUGUCAGAUUAGGUAGUUGGUGGGGUAAAGGCUUACCAAGCCUGCGAUCUGUAGCUGGUCUGAGAGGACGACCAGCCACACUGGGACUGAGACACGGCCCAGACUCCUACGGGAGGCAGCAGUGGGGAAUUUUGGACAAUGGGCGCAAGCCUGAUCCAGCCAUGCCGCGUGCGGGAAGAAGGCCUUCGGGUUGUAAACCGCUUUUGUCAGGGAAGAAACGCUCUGGGAUAAUACCCUGGGGUAAUGACGGUACCUGAAGAAUAAGCACCGGCUAACUACAUGCCAGCAGCCGCAGUAAAAC
rnacentral:rRNA from 1 species